rnacentral:rRNA from 1 species
GAUGAACGCUGGCGGCGUGCCUAAUACAUGCAAGUCGAGCGAACAGAUAAGGAGCUUGCUCCUUUGACGUUAGCGGCGGACGGGUGAGUAACACGUGGGUAACCUACCUAUAAGACUGGAAUAACUCCGGGAAACCGGGGCUAAUGCCGGAUAACAUUUAGAACCGCAUGGUUCUAAAGUGAAAGAUGGUUUUGCUAUCACUUAUAGAUGGACCCGCGCCGUAUUAGCUAGUUGGUAAGGUAACGGCUUACCAAGGCAACGAUACGUAGCCGACCUGAGAGGGUGAUCGGCCACACUGGAACUGAGACACGGUCCAGACUCCUACGGGAGGCAGCAGUAGGGAAUCUUCCGCAAUGGGCGAAAGCCUGACGGAGCAACGCCGCGCGAGUGAUGAAGGUCUUCGGAUCGUAAAACUCUGUUAUUAGGGAAGAACAAAUGUGUAAGUAACUGUGCACGUCUUGACGGUACCUAAUCAGAAAGCCACGGCUAACUACGUG